AGCAAGGGCACUCUGUGUUAUUCAUUCUAUAUGAUAAUUACAAUUUGUUACCUUGCUAGAACAAAUCUAUCACAUCCUAUUCCUGGCAGCUUGCAUCUCGCUGUUUGGUCAUCUUGAUAGAAACAUUAA